rnacentral:SRP_RNA from 1 species
GCUGGGCAUGCUGGAGUGUGCCUGCAGUCCCAGACACUUGCAAGGCUGAGGCAGGAGGAUCGCUUAAGCCCAGGAGUUCUGGGCUGUAGUGCACUAUGCCAAUCAGGUGUCCACACUAAGUUUGGCAUCAAUAUGGUGACCUUCUGGAGCGGGAGACACCAGGUUGCCUAAGGAAAUGUAAAUCAGCCCAGGUUGGAAAUGGAGCAUGUCAAAAAAUCCCAUGCUGAUCAGCAGUGGGAUCACUCUGCACUCCAGCCUGGGCAACACAGCAAGACCCUGUCUCU